GGUUAAGUUAGAAAGGGCGCACGGUGAAUGCCUUGGCACUAGGAGCCGAUGAAGGACGGGACUAACACCGAUAUGCUUCGGGGAGCUGUAAGUGAGCUUUGAUCCGGAGAUUUCCGAAUGGGGAAACCCACUGUUCGUAAUGGAGCAGUAUCUUUAUCUGAAUACAUAGGAUAUUGAAGGCAGACCCGGGGAACUGAAACAUCUAAGUACCCGGAGGAAGAGAAAGCAAAUGCGAUUUCCUGAGUAGCGGCGAGCGAAACGGAAUUAGCCCAAACCAAGAGGCUUGCCUCUUGGGGUUGUAGGACACUCUAUACGGAGUUACAAAGGAACGAAGUAAAUGAAGCGACCUGGAAAGGUCCGUCGAAGAAGGUAACAACCCUGUAGUUGAAACUUCGUUCCCUCUUGAGUGGAUCCUGAGUACGGCGGAACACGUGAAAUUCCGUCGGAAGCUGGGAGGACCAUCUCCCAAGGCUAAAUACUACCUAGUGACCGAUAGUGAACCAGUACCGUGAGGGAAAGGUGAAAAGCACCCCGGAAGGGGAGUGAAAGAGAUCCUGAAACCGUGUGCCUACAAGUAGUCAGAGCCCGUUAACGGGUGAUGGCGUGCCUUUUGUAGAAUGAACCGGCGAGUUACGAUCCCAUGCAAGGUUAAGCUGAUAAGGCGGAGCCGUAGCGAAAGCGAGUCUGAAUAGGGCGUUUAGUAUGUGGUUGUAGACCCGAAACCAGGUGAUCUACCCAUGUCCAGGGUGAAGUUCAGGUAACACUGAAUGGAGGCCCGAACCCACGCACGUUGAAAAGUGCGGGGAUGAGGUGUGGGUAGCGGAGAAAUUCCAAUCGAACCUGGAGAUAGCUGGUUCUCUCCGAAAUAGCUUUAGGGCUAGCCUCAUGUUGUGAGAGUCUUGGAGGUAGAGCACUGAUUGGACUAGGGGCCCCCAACGGGUUACCGAAUUCAGUCAAACUCCGAAUGCCAAAGACUUAUCCAUGGGAGUCAGACUGCGAGUGAUAAGAUCCGUAGUCAAAAGGGAAACAGCCCAGACCACCAGCUAAGGUCCCCAAGUAUACGUUAAGUGGAAAAGGAUGUGGAGUUGCUUAGACAACCAGGAUGUUGGCUUAGAAGCAGCCACCAUUUAAAGAGUGCGUAAUAGCUCACUGGUCGAGUGACUCUGCGCCGAAAAUGUACCGGGGCUAAACGUAUCACCGAAGCUGUGGAUUGACAUCUUUGAUGUCAGUGGUAGGAGAGCGUUCUAAGUGCUGUGAAGUCAGACCGGAAGGACUGGUGGAGCGCUUAGAAGUGAGAAUGCCGGUAUGAGUAGCGAAAGACAAGUGAGAAUCUUGUCCACCGAAUGCCUAAGGUUUCCUGAGGAAGGCUCGUCCGCUCAGGGUUAGUCGGGACCUAAGCCGAGGCUGAAAAGCGUAGGCGAUGGCCAACAGGUUGAUAUUCCUGUACCACCUCCCCGCCGUUUGAGUAAUGGGGGGACGCAGUAGGAUAGGGUAAGCGCGCUGCUGGAUAUGCGCGUUCAAGCAGUUAGGCUGAUGAGUAGGCAAAUCCGCUCAUCAUAAAGGCUGAGCUGUGAUGACGAGGGAAUUAUAGUACCGAAGUUCCUGAUUCCACACUGCCAAGAAAAGCCUCUAGCGAGGCGGGAGGUGCCCGUACCGCAAACCGACACAGGUAGGCGAGGAGAGAAUCCUAAGGUGAUCGAGAGAACUCUCGUUAAGGAACUCGGCAAAAUGACCCCGUAACUUCGGGAGAAGGGGUGCUCUGGUAGGGUGUAUAGCCCGAGAGAGCCGCAGUGAAUAGGCCCAGGCGACUGUUUAGCAAAAACACAGGUCUCUGCGAAGCCGCAAGGCGAAGUAUAGGGGCUGACGCCUGCCCGGUGCUGGAAGGUUAAGAGGAGGGGUUAUCCUUCGGGAGAAGCUCUGAAUCGAAGCCCCAGUAAACGGCGGCCGUAACUAUAACGGUCCUAAGGUAGCGAAAUUCCUUGUCGGGUAAGUUCCGACCCGCACGAAAGGCGUAACGAUCUGGGCACUGUCUCAACGAGAGACUCGGUGAAAUUAUAGUACCUGUGAAGAUGCAGGUUACCCGCGACAGGACGGAAAGACCCCGUGGAGCUUUACUGUAGCCUGAUAUUGAAUUUUGGUACAGCUUGUACAGGAUAGGUAGGAGCCUGAGAAGCCGGAGCGCUAGCUUCGGUGGAGGCGUCGGUGGGAUACUACCCUGGCUGUAUUGAAAUUCUAACCCGCGGCCCUGAUCGGGCCGGGAGACAGUGUCAGGUGGGCAGUUUGACUGGGGCGGUCGCCUCCUAAAAUGUAACGGAGGCGCCCAAAGGUUCCCUCAGAAUGGUUGGAAAUCAUUCGUAGAGUGUAAAGGCACAAGGGAGCUUGACUGCGAGACCUACAAGUCGAGCAGGGACGAAAGUCGGGCUUAGUGAUCCGGUGGUUCCGCAUGGAAGGGCCAUCGCUCAACGGAUAAAAGCUACCCCGGGGAUAACAGGCUUAUCUCCCCCAAGAGUCCACAUCGACGGGGAGGUUUGGCACCUCGAUGUCGGCUCAUCGCAUCCUGGGGCUGUAGUCGGUCCCAAGGGUUGGGCUGUUCGCCCAUUAAAGCGGUACGCGAGCUGGGUUCAGAACGUCGUGAGACAGUUCGGUCCCUAUCCGUCGUGGGCGUAGGAAAUUUGAGAGGAGCUGUCCUUAGUACGAGAGGACCGGGAUGGACACACCGCUGGUGUACCAGUUGUCUUGCCAAAGGCAUCGCUGGGUAGCUAUGUGUGGACGGGAUAAGUGCUGAAAGCAUCUAAGCAUGAAGCCCCCCUCAAGAUGAGAUUUCCCAUAGCGCAAGCUAGUAAGAUCCCUGAAAGAUGAUCAGGUUGAUAGGUCAGAGGUGGAAGCGUGGCGACAUGUGUAGCUGACUGAUACUAAUCGAUCGAGGACUUAACCAA
rnacentral:rRNA from 1 species